UACCAGCACCCCGAGUGGUCGGGACGUUUAUUGGGCCUAAAGCAUCCGUAGCCGGUUCUACAAGUCUUCCGUUAAAUCCACCUGCUUAACAGAUGGGCUGCGGAAGAUACUAUGGAGCUAGGAGGCGGGAGAGGCAAGCGGUACUCGAUGGGUAGGGGUAAAAUCCGUUGAUCCAUUGAAGACCACCAGUGGCGAAGGCGGCUUGCCAGAACGCGCUCGACGGUGAGGGAUGAAAGCUGGGGGAGCAAACCGGAUUAG
rnacentral:rRNA from 1 species